rnacentral:rRNA from 1 species
AUUGAACGCUGGCGGCAGGCCUAACACAUGCAAGUCGAGCGAGCGGCGGACGGGUGAGUAAUGUAUGGGGACUGCCCGAUAGAGGGGGAUAACUACUGGAAACGGUGGCUAAUACCGCAUACUAUCGGAUAACCCAUAUGGGACUAGCUAGUAGGUGGGGUAAAGGCUCACCUAGGCGACGAUCCCUAGCUGGUCUGAGAGGAUGAUAGGCCAGACUGGGACUGAGACAGGGCCCACACUCCUACGGAGGCAGCAGUGGGGUAUAUUGCACAACGGGCGCAAGCUUGAUGCAGCCAUGCCGAGUGUAUGAAGAAGGCCUUAGGGUUGUAAAGUACUUUGGGCGGGGAGGCGUUACCCGCAGAAGAAGCACCGGCUAACUCCGUGCCAGCAGCCGCGGUAAUUC